ensembl:lncRNA
CUUCAAGAGACGUGACUUUUAGAAGUAUGAAUAGUUUAAUGUUGUCACGAUAUCAGCGGUUAAGGCUUCUUUCUACUUCACUCGACUGCUGAGCGCCCUUUGCUUCGCUCAUUCUCCCCCGAGCCCAAGCCGUUCCUGGCAGGAUGGAGAGAUCGGACGAACAGCCCGGACUCGGACCCUCCACCUCGCUGCAGCAGUUAACGUCGGCCUCCGUGAAGUGCAGCGAAACCACAUCAGCCCAAGACAACUUUUACAAGCCCUGUGCUGUCCGUCCUGCCCUCCAUCACACCGCCCCUUUUCUCCCAAAGGCAACGUUCCCCAUCC